GCCAGCGGUGACAGCACGUUGAAUUCACCAGUUUCCGAUGGAUCACUGAGGUUAGGCAACGUUUCGCGUGGUUAGUAUUCGGAUGGGUGACCAUGUAGGGCAUCUAGGCAAUCGCGUGUUGCUGGCU
rfam:Asian citrus Psyllid, Diaphorina citri - Florida Strain, whole genome shotgun sequence.